GAGUCGCGCGCUGGGAAAUGUUCCCCGUCAUCCUCAUGGAGGGAAACACACUUCAAACAACCACCGGAGUUAUUCUUUGAGGAGUGAAACCAAGAGACCCGCUGCCAUUCAUUUGUGUUGUUUUGUCUACUAAAUCGGCUUUUUUUUGGGGGGGGGUGGAGGUGGAAUCCACAGGUUCUUCCUCGUUUUCUUUUUUUGUGCUUCUUCUUCUUCUUUUUCUGUCUGGAUCCGGACCGAGUGAAAGCAGCAGCGGGAGGACCGCGGCGUCGCUCGCUCUUCGUGGGCGUGUUUAAUGUCACCGGAGUGGAGCGAAUGAUGAAGUUAGUGCGUUUCGGAGACAAGCGGGGGUGUCGUCGUCAAUGAGCACGUAGAGAUGUCACAGCCUCGUUCGUGAAACUCUUCUUCGUCGUUUUGAAAUCGGUCGUGGGAUUUUAUUUGCUGGGAAGUUUACCUGCGCGCGCUCAUCUGCCGAGGAAGAGGAGGAGCUGUCCGUGGUCCUGAAGUCAUUCCAACAACUCCUGCUAUCUGCUUCCUCCUGGCCUUGAACACAACUUCAGGGUUUCUGUUGGAAGCAGCAGCUGGAGGGGGACACUGUCUGCCAGCAGCUCCCAACAACAAAACAACAGAAGAGCCUAAUAUGGUCACUCAUACCAGAGUUCAUCUGCAAACGUUGGUACUUUUAAUUUGUAUUGUCCACCCGAGCCGGCCGGUGUGCGUCGAUGUCCCGUCGGAGACCGACGCCGUCCUGGGGAACUCCAUGAAGUUGACCUGCAUUUACUGCAUGAAGAGGGAUGAGAUCAAAGCAAAGACGCGCGUGAAUUGGUACUUCAAGCCAAACGAAGAAGAAGGCUUCAAGUCGAACAAAACUCACAUAUACAAGUAUGAAAUCAACAGAACGGUGGAGCUGGACGGACCGUUUAAGGGCCGUCUGGCCUGGAACGGGAGCCAGGACCUGCAAGAGGUCUCCAUUCGCAUCAUCAACGUCACCUUCAACGACAGCGGCGUGUACGAGUGCAACGUCUCCCGCGAGUUUGAGUUCGACUUCUACAAACCGUCGGCCUUCAUCGUCAAGACCAUCCAGCUGAAGGUGGAAGCGAAAGCCACGGGGAGCGCCGCGGCGCUCUACUCUGAGGUCAUGAUGUAUGUGCUGCUGGUGUGCCUGACCUUCUGGCUGCUGGUGGAGAUGGUCUACUGCUACCGGAAGAUCUCCCAGUCGGACGAGGAGACGCAGGACGCAGCUGUGUAGACGUUCUCUUACACUCGGUCCGAGGGCGGGGCUUCUCCCCGAUGACGCGGCUCAUCGGCUCCCCAACGCCCACAACGGAAUCGUGUCGUGUUCAAACCCUCAACCGCCACUACUUUAUGGUUCAUGACACUAACCAAUCACGAUGGACCUUCGAUUGGCAGUUAAAGGCAUAAAGUCCACGAGCUCGUCUUCGCUGCUAUAAAGGCGUCGUCGCUUCCAGGCGGCCGCGGGAAUCCAACUGACCUGGAGUGCUAAUUUUUACUCCUCCUUUCCUCACAUUCUUUGUUUUUUUUCUUCCUUUGUGUCAUCUUUUCUUCCUUCAGGCAUCUGAAAUGAAGUGUUUUCUCAAAUACGGCAGGUUAAAGAACAAACACCUGCACUUAUUAUCAGAUAAAUACCAGCCAUGCUUCACUUGGACCUGCCAGAGUAAACAUAUAUUUAUGUGUAUGUAUAUAUAUAUAGAUAUAUAUAUAUACUGAAUAUUUACUUCGUUAGUGGUGUCUCUUAUAACCUAUAAAUGAGAUAAAAGAUGAAAUAAACUGUCCUCCUGGCUGUUGUACACAACUUAAAUAUCAAAUAUGUUGUUCUGGUUAAUUUAGUUUCAUUACAAUUUUAUAGACCAUGCUUGGAUUUUCAGGUCAGUCAUAUUUGUUCUGGCCUAUGUCUUUUUAAUUAGUUUUUAUACUGUAUGGAUGUGUAUUUAUUCCCAUUUUUUGCAGUGUGCGUCUCUGAAAACCACAAUGUUAUGGAACAUAUAGAGACCUCUAUGUUGUAUUAGGUCUCUCGAUAUGAGUCGAUAUAUAUAUUCAUCUCGAGGUCAUUAGGUAUAAAUCUAUAAUCUGAUCUAAAAUAUAUUCUGCUGGUGUUGUGUGCGCCGCUAUGUAGAAAUAUGUAUAUUAUUUCUGAUCCAAUCAUAACACGCUGCUUUUUUUCCAAUUACGGAUAUGUAUGAGUGAGCUCCUUUCUGAACUAUUAAAUGCAAUGCAUUCCAUAUUCUAUGUUCAAAAGUUAUUACUUCUGUUUGAGUGUUAAGUGUUAUUGAAGUUGCACAAGGAUAAAGAAAAAAUAAAGAAAAAAGAAUGCUUA